rnacentral:rRNA from 1 species
AGUGAACGCUGGCGGUAGGCCUAACACAUGCAAGUCGAACGGCAGCACAGUAAGAGCUUGCUCUUACGAGUGGCGAGUGGCGGACGGGUGAGGAAUACAUCGGAAUCUACUUUUUCGUGGGGGAUAACGUAGGGAAACUUACGCUAAUACCGCAUACGAGCUACGGGUGAAAGCAGGGGAUCUUCGGACCUUGCGCGAUUGAAUGAGCCGAUGUCGGAUUAGCUAGUUGGCGGGGUAAAGGCCCACCAAGGCGACGAUCCGUAGCUGGUCUGAGAGGAUGAUCAGCCACACUGGAACUGAGACACGGUCCAGACUCCUACGGGAGGCAGCAGUGGGGAAUAUUGGACAAAGGGCGCAAGCCUGAUCCAGCCAUACCGCGUGGGUGAAGAAGGCCUUCGGGUUGUAAAGCCCUUUUGUUGGGAAAGAAAAGCAGCAGGUUAAUACCCCGCUGUUCUGACGGUACCCAAAGAAUAAGCACCGGCUAACUUCGUG